rnacentral:lncRNA from 1 species
GCAGCCGGUGGGAACCCUAACCGCCAUUACCAUCUCGCGCAGAAACCAGAGAAGAAAAUACGAAUUUGAGAAACCCUCCUUUGAUUGGCGCGAUGAGUUCCCUUUGAUCACUGGGCUGAUAACUAAUUUCGGGAACUUUUCUAAUAUAUCGGGCAAUUGAAUCUUUCAGCAAAUUCUUCACUCAAACUCUAAACUGAACGAUUAGCAGCCGAAUCUGAUGGAUUCGAAACCCGUUAGCGAUAAUGCUGCCGCCCCAAGGAAGG